UCUCAGUGCAAGCCGUCCCGUACGGUGAAACCGCGAAAGGCUCAGUAAAUCAGUUAUGGUUCCUUAGAUUGUACCCACAUUUGUGUUACUUGGAUAACUGUGGUAAUUCUAGAGCUAAUACAUGCCGACAGAGUUCCGACCAGCGCCGGGUGUAUUAGGCUUCGCGCCGACGCCUGGUGUUCGGAAGGAACGCUCUUAUUAGAUCAAAACCGGCCAAACAGUGUAGCGAACGCGUUUUCGAACGCGUUCGCGCUGUAAGCGGCCCGCGCAAAGACUUGACGACUCUGAAUAAUUUCGAGCUGAUCGCACGGUCUUGGUACCGGCGACGUAUCUUUCAAAUGUCUGCCUUAUCAACUGUCGACGGUAGGUUCGAUGCCUACCGUGGUGGUAACGGGUAACGGGGAAUCAGGGUUCGAUUCCGGAGAGGGAGCCUGAGAAACGGCUACCACAUCCAAGGAAGGCAGCAGGCGCGCAAAUUACCCACUCCCAGCUCGGGG
rnacentral:rRNA from 1 species